AUUUAUAUAGUUUAAAAUAAAACAUUAUUUUUUCAAAAUAAAAUUGAACUAAAUCUAUAAAUAC
rnacentral:tRNA from 1 species